rnacentral:rRNA from 1 species
AUUGAACGCUGGCGGCAGGCUUAACACAUGCAAGUCGAGCGGAGACUUCGGUCUUAGCGGCGAACGGGUGAGGAAUGCCUGGGAAUCUGCCUGUUAGUGGGGGAUAACGUUCCGAAAGGAACGCUAAUACCGCAUACGUCCUACGGGAGAAAGCAGGGGACCUUCGGGCCUUGCGCUAACAGAUGAGCCCAGGUCGGAUUAGCUAGUUGGUGGGGUAAAGGCUCACCAAGGCGACGAUCCGUAGCUGGUCUGAGAGGAUGAUCAGCCACACUGGAACUGAGACACGGUCCAGACUCCUACGGGAGGCAGCAGUGGGGAAUAUUGGACAAUGGGCGAAAGCCUGAUCCAGCCAUGCCGCGUGUGUGAAGAAGGCCUCGGUUGUAAGCACUUAAG